AUUGAACGCUGGCGGCAGGCCUAACACAUGCAAGUCGCACGAGUGGCGGACGGGUGAGUAAUGUCUGGGAAAAUGCCUGAUGGAGGGGGAUAACUACUGGAAACGGUAGCUAAUACCGCAUACCAUCGGAUGUCCCCAGAUGGGAUGAGCUAGUAGGUGGGGUAAAGGCUCACCUAGGCGACGAUCCCUAGCGGGUCUGAGAGGCAGGCCAGCCACACUGGAACUGAGACACGGUCGAGACUCCUACGGGAGGCAGCAGUGGGGAAUAUUGCACAAUGGGCGCAAGCCUGAUGCAGCCAUGCCGCGUGUAUGAAGAAGGCCUUCGGGUUGUAAAGUACUUUCAGCGGGGAGGCGUUACCCGCAGAAGAAGCACCGGCUAACUCCGUGCCAGCAGCCGCGGUAAUAC
rnacentral:rRNA from 1 species